CACGUAGGCACCAAGCGUUGUCCGGAUUUAUUGGGCGUAAAGAGCUCGUAGGCGGUUCGGUAAGUCGGGUGUGAAAACUCUGGGCUCAACCCAGAGCCGCCACCCGAUACUGCUGUGACUUGAGUUCGGUAGGGGAGCGGGGAAUUCCCGGUGUAGCGGUGAAAUGCGCAGAGAUCGGGAGGAACACCCGUAGCGAAGGCGGCACUCUGGGCCGGUACUGACGCUGAGGAGCGAAAGCGUGGGGAGCAAACAGG
rnacentral:rRNA from 1 species